UGUUUUUCAAGCAAAACAAGAAGUCUAGAU
rnacentral:piRNA from 1 species